rnacentral:rRNA from 1 species
UACGUAGGGUCCGAGCGUUGUCCGGAAUUACUGGGCGUAAAGAGCUCGUAGGCGGCCUGUCGCGUCGGAUGUGAAAGCCCGGGGCUUAACCCCGGGUCUGCAUUCGAUACGGGCAGGCUGGAGUUCGGUAGGGGAGAUCGGAAUUCCUGGUGUAGCGGUGAAAUGCGCAGAUAUCAGGAGGAACACCGGUGGCGAAGGCGGAUCUCUGGGCCGAUACUGACGCUGAGGAGCGAAAGCGUGGGGAGCGAACAGG